AGUGAACGCUGGCGGUAGGCCUAACACAUGCAAGUCGAACGGCAGCACAGUAAGAGCUUGCUCUUACGGGUGGCGAGUGGCGGACGGGUGAGGAAUACAUCGGAAUCUACUUUUUCGUGGGGGAUAACGUAGGGAAACUUACGCUAAUACCGCAUACGACCUACGGGUGAAAGCAGGGGAUCUUCGGACCUUGCGCGAUUGAAUGAGCCGAUGUCGGAUUAGCUAGUUGGCGGGGUAACGGCCCACCAAGGCGACGAUCCGUAGCUGGUCUGAGAGGAUGAUCAGCCACACUGGAACUGAGACACGGUCCAGACUCCUACGGGAGGCAGCAGUGGGGAAUAUUCGACAAUGGGCGCAAGCCUGAUCCAGCCAUACCGCGUGGGUGAAGAAGGCCUUCGGGUUGUAAAGCCCUUUUGUUGGGAAAGAAAAGCAGCAGGUUAAUACCCCGCUGCUCUGACGGUACCCAAAGAAUAAGCACCGGCUAACUUCGUG
rnacentral:rRNA from 1 species